rnacentral:rRNA from 1 species
CAAUGGCUUGUACGGCGAGUGAGCGGCAAAAGCUCAAAUUUGAAAUCUGGUACCUUCGGUGCCCGAGUUGUAAUUUGGAGAGGGCAACUUUGGGGCCGUUCCUUGUCUAUGUUCCUUGGAACAGGACGUCAUAGAGGGUGAGAAUCCCGUGUGGCGAGGAGUGCGGUUCUUUGUAAAGUGCCUUCGAAGAGUCGAGUUGUUUGGGAAUGCAGCUCUAAGUGGGUGGUAAAUUCCAUCUAAAGCUAAAUAUUGGCGAGAGACCGAUAGCGAACAAGUACAGUGAUGGAAAGAUGAAAAGAACUUUGAAAAGAGAGUGAAAAAGUACGUGAAAUUGUUGAAAGGGAAGGGCAUUUGAUCAGACAUGGUGUUUUGUGCCCUCUGCUCCUUGUGGGUAGGGGAAUCUCGCAUUUCACUGGGCCAGCAUCAGUUUUGGUGGCAGGAUAAAUCCAUAGGAAUGUAGCUUGCCUCGGUAAGUAUUAUAGCCUGUGGGAAUACUGCCAGCUGGGACUGAGGACUGCGACGUAAGUCAAGGAUGCUGGCAUAAUGGUUAUAUGCCGCCC